GCAGCCUCCGGAGCCUCCCACCGACCCGGGAUUAAUACCCCGCGGCGCGGCUGCCGUAGCCGCUACCGCGUCGGGGCCUCGGGGGCUGCUCCGGGCUCCGCUCAUGUCACAGGCGUCUUCGCGUGCGGCCCGAAGGGCUGCGAGAGUGAGGGCGAGGCCGGGAGGGCUGGGACCAGGAAUCGCCUUCAACCCCAGUUGGUGCAUCUUUGGCAGAAAGUGAAGAAAACACCCCCAUUAUUACAUUUUUCCAUCCUAUGUCCUUGCUCAGCUGAUUUCAUCCUACCUUCCUCCUGGAGUUUAUUUUUCAUUUUUUUUCCCCAUUUCUAACUGCUUUUACAU